CUUAUCAAGUACUACAACCUAAGUUCUUACAUUCAAAAGUUGCCAUUUUGUUGCACAGUGUAAUUAAUAUUUGAACAGUUUGUGUUUAAUCAAAUAAAUAAGCUGAGUAUUUCAUUCCUUUUUGGAGAUCCAAGUUGAAAUGCCAAGCAUCUGUCCCACAGUGCACAAGGAAAGUUUCUUACGGCAAAGAUUAACAGAGACGGAGCCCAGUACUGGGGCAAGGAGUGUGGUGGUCGGAGGGCGCUAAGGAGCCUGGUGCGUGUUGCUGCCAGGCGCAUGUUUGGCAAUGCGGUAAACCAAAUUAUGUGCUUAGGAACUUGCCGCUGCGACCAGAGUCGGUGAUGGGGCGAGAAACCACACAACCACCGAAGCCCCAGUCCCAGUCCCAGCCCCACCCAACCCACAACCACCAACCACCCGCUUUUUGCCGCUUUGUGUGCGUCUUGCAGCUGCAUUUACACAGCAAAAAGAGCUGCUCCACAACGCUCUCCCCUUUUGGCCCUUUGCCUUUGUGCCUUGUCUGCUUGCACUGCUGCUGGCCGGCGCUCUUUGCACAGGUGUUCCAUCCAAAAACUUUGUGAGCGCCGUGGCAAGAUGAUUAAAAAGUUUUCCUCUAAGAAGAAAAGGCAGAGCCUGCAUUCAGUUGAGGUCCAGAAACCUCAGUCGCCAAAUUGUCAAUGCCCGCCACCUUUGACAGCAGCUAAUGAUGGGAAGCGAUACAUUGAGGCUAAAACUAAAUUAACUAUGCCCGAACACUGGCCAACGAUUGGUCUACUGAACCUGUGGCUGGAUCUCAUAUAAAUAUACAUCAUUUCGUCCAUAAACCAUUGAAUUACAAUCGCAACUCACAGCUUAAACACUUCCACAGCUUUUGUGUUGAAAAUGUUCUACAAAAGUUUCAAAUAUUUGCAAGAUUUCUAACAGCUCAGGAGACACUUUCGCACGCUCCACGAGGAGCCA
rnacentral:lncRNA from 1 species